rnacentral:rRNA from 1 species
UACGUAGGGGGCAAGCGUUGUCCGGAUUGAUUGGGCGUAAAGAGCGUGUAGGCGGCUAGGUAGGUCCGUUGUGAAAACUCGAGGCUCAACCUCGAGACGCCGGUGGAAACCAUCUAGCUAGAGUCCGGAAGAGGAGAGUGGAAUUCCUGGUGUAGCGGUGAAAUGCGCAGAUAUCAGGAGGAACACCAACGGCGAAGGCAGCUCGCUGGGACGGUACUGACGCUGAGGCGCGAAAGCGUGGGGAGCGAACAGG